GACGUAGGGGGCCAGCGUUGUUCGGAAUUACUGGGUGUAAAGGGUUCGUAGGCGGUGCGGCAAGUCGGGAGUGAAAUCUCUGGGCUUAACCCAGAGGCUGCUUCCGAAACUGCUGUGCUUGAGUGUGGGAGAGGCGCGUGGAAUUGCAGGUGUAGCGGUGAAAUGCGUAGAUAUCUGGAGGAACACCGGUGGCGAAGGCGGCAUCCUGGACCGGUAUUGACGCUGAGGCGCGAAAGCCAGGGGAGCAAACGGG
rnacentral:rRNA from 1 species